GAUGAACGCUGGCGGCGUGCCUAAUACAUGCAAGUCGAGCGAACGGACGAGAAGCUUGCUUCUCUGAUGUUAGCGGCGGACGGGUGAGUAACACGUGGAUAACCUACCUAUAAGACUGGGAUAACUUCGGGAAACCGGAGCUAAUACCGGAUAAUAUUUUGAACCGCAUGGUUCAAAAGUGAAAGACGGUCUUGCUGUCACUUAUAGAUGGAUCCGCGCUGCAUUAGCUAGUUGGUAAGGUAACGGCUUACCAAGGCAACGAUGCAUAGCCGACCUGAGAGGGUGAUCGGCCACACUGGUACUUAGACACGGUCCAGACUCCUACGGGAGGCAGCAGUAGGGAAUCUUCCGCAAUGGGCGAAAGCCUGACGGAGCAACGCCGCGUGAGUGAUGAAGGUCUUCGGAUCGUAAAACUCUGUUAUUAGGGAAGAACAUAUGUGUAAGUAACUGUGCACAUCUUGACGGUACCUAAUCAGAAAGCCGCGGCUAACUACGUG
rnacentral:rRNA from 1 species